AAUAAAAAAUAAAGGGCAUAAAUAUUGUCCGAAGAAUGGUCGUCUGAUGUGUAAACUGAUGCUUUGAUGGCAUACGUGACAUUUUGCUCUGAUGUGUAAACUGAUGCUUUGUUGGCAUACGUGACAUUUUGCAGUCAUCCGCAUUUACGACUAAAAAUCCAAGGAAAAAUGAGCCCAGGUGUUUACAAUUACAAAACCUUUCAUAAUUUAUGCUUACGCAUUAAAUUGGAAAUUAGUUUAUUAAUGUUGUUUACAAAUAACAAAAUGCAGCUAAAAAGACUCGCCGUACGCCGGUUGUCGAUAAGCAAGCGCAUCAUGAUAAGAAGUUGCAAAAAAGAAAGCUAAUAAUUACAACAGACAGUGACUUGGACACACCCGGGAAAAACAUGGAUAAUAUACAAAAAGCUAAAAAGACUCGCUGUACGCCGGUUGUCGAUAAGCAAGCGCGUCAGGAUAAGAAGUUGCAAAAAAGAAAGCUAAUAAUUACAACAGACAGUGACUUGGACACACCCGGGAAAAACAUGGAUAAUAUACAAAAAG